GAUGAUGAUGACAUCAUUGACGUCGCACAGUGUAGUUGACGCCGACGUGUAGGUAUAUACCAGCUAAAACACAUCACGAUAAUAUCAUACAAUCAGUGACGGUGGCGAAUCGUACCUUAUUAAAAUGUUUAAUAUAUUACAAUAAUAAUAAUAAUAAUAUGAAAUAUUGUGUGCGCAAUCCGCUGGGAGACGGUCGUGUUUUCGAAAUGCAAACGCCAAACGUAUCCAUAGGAAAACAAUCUGGUUUAUCAAAUGCGCGAUUUGCCUACAGUAAGGAGCGCAGCCACCGUUAGCCGUUGCAACCUUGAUAAUCAAGCUUGAAUAAGCUUCGUAAAUAGAUUUCAAAAAAUCAGAAGGAAAAUUGCUAUUGACAGAGACAAACAAUAAUAUAUGUAUACAUUUAACAGGGCCCCUAAAAGUUGAGAACCAAGAUCUAAAUAUUAUGAAUUUCAGAAUAAGGAAGAACGUGUGCAAUGAGUAUUUAUCGCAUAAUAUUAGGAAUAUCGUGCCGUCUGCAAGCGUUAUGCUGAGUAUGAUAUAAACCUAAAAAUUCUAAAGGAUUGUCUACUCGACACUCUAAACCAGGAAUAUCUGACUUCCUGCCACUCAAUGACUCCAUCAUAGAAUGUUCAGCAGUACCUAUAAUGUUAAUACAUACAUAAUAAAUAGAUUACACCAAAAACAAAAAUAA